GACGAACGCUGGCGGCGUGCUUAACACAUGCAAGUCGAACGAUGAAGCCGGAGCUUGCUCUGGUGAAUUAGUGGCGAACGGGUGAGUAACACGUGAGUAACCUGCCCUUGACUCUGGGAUAACUGCGGGAAACUGAAGCUAAUACCGGAUACGACCCUCGGAGGCAUCUCCUGGGGGUGGAAAGAAUUUCGGUCAAGGAUGGACUCGCGGCCUAUCAGCUAGUUGGUGAGGUAAAGGCUCACCAAGGCGACGACGGGUAGCCGGCCUGAGAGGGUGACCGGCCACACUGGGACUGAGACACGGCCCAGACUCCUACGGGAGGCAGCAGUGGGGAAUAUUGCACAAUGGGCGCAAGCCUGAUGCAGCAACGCCGCGUGAGGGAUGACGGCCUUCGGGUUGUAAACCUCUUUUAGCAGGGAGGAAGCGAAAGUGACGGUACCUGCAGAAAAAGCACCGGCUAACUACGUGCCAGCAGCCGCUGUAA
rnacentral:rRNA from 1 species